CUGUGAUCUCUGUACCACUGCUGCAGAAAAGAGGACAACAUUUCACAUUUCUGGCACCACUAACGACAACACAGCAACUGAAAGAAAGCAUGAAUUUCUGGGAGCAGCAUUAGGAUACAGGACUCCUGCUGAGCUCACCAGUUCCUUGCUCUGCACAGCUGCCUUCUCAGCUGGGGGUUUGAAAUCAGCACUGUGAGAAAAGACAGAAAUGACCAUGGUGCGUUUGCCUCAUUCUGAGAAAAAGGCACUUGGAUGCUGAAAUAUUCUGCAGCUGUUCUGUGACCAUGAGGAAGCACAUAUGAGGAAACCCUAAGAGAAUUUCAGAAUGCCUGCUAUAACAUGCUAAAACUACUGAACCAGUGCCAGCUGUCUUCCUCAAGGCUCCUUGCUAUGUCAGAAGAGUAAAUAAAAAAAAAAAAGAAGAGUAAAUCAAUAUUUACUAAGUCAAUCUAUGUGUUGCUUUUAAUUGGAAGCCUUUCCUAACUGAUGCCACAUGUAUAAAUAAUUUAGAAAGGUUUUUGAAAGUUGAGCAUUAUGUUACAAAAUAAAAUACUUAGCAAUAAAGACAAAAUACAAUUCUUCUCUUCAGGAACUUUAUGGUAAACAUUUUAUAUGAUAAAGAAGUAAGCAUCAAGAAACUUUGUAAUAUUUGUCCAAGGUCUGAGAUCAAUUUGCACUGGCAUAUUUCUUACUGGUUCUUGGUGUUCUUUUUCUCACACGUAAAAUAAUAGAUUACAUUACUUCUGAGUUCCACUGCAUGUCUAAACUUCUGACUUUAUUAGAACAAAGUGUAUUUUAAAUCUAUGGCUUUAUAAUACUACCUGUUGAAUAUUUGAAAAUUCAUAUUCCUUGGAUACUUUUUGUAUGAAAGAAGUCAUUGCAUUUUACUGUUCGUACUUAGGAUUCUAUACAUUCCAUAUUGAAAAUAAUGGGCUAUGAGUUCGAGUCCUUUGAUAUACCAUCAUCCACUCUAAAAAUAUAAUUUAUUACAUACUGAAAUUAGCAUAAAAUGAUAUUUGGAAACAUCUUUUAGGAAGAAUUUUCCCCAGAACACUAUACGAUAUCAUUAAUUCCUCCUUUUGCUAGUACAAAAUUCAGGCAAAAUAAUUCCACUGAUAUGAAGGUAUGUCUGACACAUUAGGUUUUCUAGCCCUUUGAUGACAUGUCUGUGCAAUUGUAUGAAAUUGGCAUAAAGAAGAUUCAUUGAUAUCAAGGAAAAUGUUCUCAAAUCGCUUUGGGGAGGCAAUAAAGUAUAACAAAUAAAAUGUUGCUAUACUAUUUAAAAGAAUAGGAACAAAUGUGAAUUAAAUGGGAAUUGACCAUAAAUAACUGAUUUCAAAGUCUAUUUUAUAUUUUCAUCUUUUUUUGCAAUAAUAUAAGGUUAUGCAAGCUGAUCAAAUGCCAGUGGCUCUAGCUAAGCCUUUUUUGGCCACAAUACGUUGACACUUAACUCCGAUUUGUAAUUUGGUUGAUGUUGGAAACUGAGAUGUGCAAAGAAGCUGUUACUGGAAAUGGAAAAGAAGUGAAACAGAGUCCAUACAGAAAGGAGAGAUUUGAUAGCAAGCAAAAGCUUUAAUGCAGAAAAUGAAAAUAAAAAGAAAAUGAGUAAUGUGCUGCCCAUGAACUGGAGAACUGAGCUGGUACUUAAAAAUAAGGGUUUCUUUCUUUCUUUAAAGCAACAACAUCUUUAGUUGUUGUUGUAAGUGUAAAACAAACAGGGAUGCCUUCCCUUUACAUGCUGGAAGCAGUCUUCCCUGUUGCCAAGGCAACAUCCUCAUGCUGCAAGGGUCACCUUUGGAAACAAUCGGAAGACUUCAAAAGCAGAUCAAUUGAGAAACACCAAGACCUGAACUUCCUAGAAAAUGGCUCCUAUUUUAAAUGUCAUUUUCCAACAGACACUUGCUUAUGUAAUUACUAUAUUCCAGGAAAAGAAGGCAAAACUGCAUAUGAACUAAGUCUAGUCCAAUAUUUUCAAGCUCUGCUCUUGGAAGCCUAUGCUUUAUAAGAAAGAUGUUUUGAAAGGGGGAAUGAGCAGAAUUUUCACUUAGACCAUGAACUGACAUUCAGAUUUGAAAAUAGAAGCUGCAGAUGAGACUUCAUUUGAAGAACGUUUCCACUCAUUUAAAAAAUACAGACUAUUCAUAUAAACACACUUGAUUAUACUUUGUCUAAAAUAACGAGAUUUUUAAUUUCUGAGAAUGUUUUUGUGAUAUAUUAAA